rnacentral:rRNA from 1 species
UGCAAGUCGAGCGAACAGAAGGGAGCUUGCUCCCGGAUGUUAGCGGCGGACGGGUGAGUAACACGUGGGUAACCUGCCUGUAAGACUGGGAUAACUCCGGGAAACCGGAGCUAAUACCGGAUAGUUCCUUGAACCGCAUGGUUCAAGGAUGAAAGACGGUUUCGGCUGUCACUUACAGAUGGACCCGCGGCGCAUUAGCUAGUUGGUGGGGUAAUGGCUCACCAAGGCAACGAUGCGUARCCGACCUGAGAGGGUGAUCGGCCACACUGGGACUGAGACACGGCCCAGACUCCUACGGGAGGCAGCAGUAGGGAAUCUUCCGCAAUGGACGAAAGUCUGACGGAGCAACGCCGCGUGAGUGAUGAAGGUUUUCGGAUCGUAAAGCUCUGUUGUUAGGGAAGAACAAGUGCGAGAGUAACUGCUCGCACCUUGACGGUACCUAACCAGAAAGCCACGGCUAACUACGUGCCASCAGCCGCGGUAAUACGUAGGUGGCAAGCGUUGUCCGGAAUUAUUGGGCGUAAAGGGCUCGCAGGCGGUUUCUUAAGUCUGAUGUGAAAGCCCCCGGCUCAACCGGGGAGGGUCAUUGGAAACUGGGAAACUUGAGUGCAGAAGAGGAGAGUGGAAUUCCACGUGUAGCGGUGAAAUGCGUAGAGAUGUGGAGGAACACCAGUGGCGAAGGCGACUCUCUGGUCUGUAACUGACGCUGAGGAGCGAAAGCGUGGGGAGCGAACAGGAUUAGAUACCCUGGUAGUCCACGCCGUAAACGAUGAGUGCUAAGUGUUAGGGGGUUUCCGCCCCUUAGUGCUGCAGCUAACGCAUUAAGCACUCCGCCUGGGGAGUACGGUCGCAAGACUGAAACUCAAAGGAAUUGACGGGGGCCCGCACAAGCGGUGGAGCAUGUGGUUUAAUUCGAAGCAACGCGAAGAACCUUACCAGGUCUUGACAUCCUCUGACAACCCUAGAGAUAGGGCUUUCCCUUCGGGGACAGAGUGACAGGUGGUGCAUGGUUGUCGUCAGCUCGUGUCGUGAGAUGUUGGGUUAAGUCCCGCAACGAGCGCAACCCUUGAUCUUAGUUGCCAGCAUUUAGUUGGGCACUCUAAGGUGACUGCCGGUGACAAACCGGAGGAAGGUGGGGAUGACGUCAAAUCAUCAUGCCCCUUAUGACCUGGGCUACACACGUGCUACAAUGGACAGAACAAAGGGCUGCGAGACCGCAAGGUUUAGCCAAUCCCAUAAAUCUGUUCUCAGUUCGGAUCGCAGUCUGCAACUCGACUGCGUGAAGCUGGAAUCGCUAGUAAUCGCGGAUCAGC